rnacentral:rRNA from 1 species
CCUACGGGCGGCAGCAGUGGGGAAUAUUGCACAAUGGGGGCAACCCUGAUGCAGCAACGCCGCGUGAGUGAAGAAGUAUUUCGGUAUGUAAAGCUCUAUCAGCAGGGAAGCAGAAAGACGGUACCUGACUAAGAAGCGCCUGCUAACUAAGUGCCAGGAGCCGCGGUAAUACGUAGGGGGCAAGCGUUAUCCGGAUUUACUGGGUGUAAAGGGAGCGUAGACGGCUGUGCAAGUCUGAAGUGAAAGCCCGUGGCUCAAACGAGGAACUGCUUUUGAAACUGUAUAGCUUGAGUACUGGAGAGGCAGGCGGAAUUCCUGGUGUAGCGGUGAAAUGCGUAGAUAUUAGGAGGAACACCAGUGGCGAAGGCGGCCUGCUGGACAGAAACUGACGUUGAGGCUCGAAAGCGUGGGGAGCGAACAGGAUUAGAUACCCGAGUAGUC